rnacentral:rRNA from 1 species
ACUUGCUUUCUUUGCUGGCGACCGGCGCACGGGUGAGUAACACGUAUCCAACCCGCCCUUUACUCGGGGAUAGCCUUUCGAAAGAAAGAUUAAUACCCGAUAGCAUAAUGAUUCCGCAUGGUUUCAUUAUUAAAGGAUUCCGAUAAAGGAUGGGGAUGCGUUCCAUUAGGUUGUUGGUGGGGUAACGGCCCACCAAGCCUUCGAUGGAUAGGGGUUCCGAGAGGAAGGUCCCCCACAUUGGAACUGAGACACGGUCCAA